UGCUUAUUUUGCGCAGGCGGAGCUCGACCGCCCGUUCCGCAAAUGAUCGCCUUCAUCAAGGAUCACCAAAGCGUGCAUGGGGUCGAGCCGAUGUGCCGGGUCCUGCAAAUCGCCCCG
rfam:Tropicibacter multivorans strain CECT 7557 genome assembly, contig: 0027